CCUACGGGAGGCAGCAGUAAGGAAUAUUGGUCAAUGGAGGCAACUCUGAACCAGCCAUGCCGCGUGCAGGAUGAAGGCCCUAUGGGUCGUAAACUGCUUUUACACAAGAGAAAACCCGAGUACGUGUACUCGGUUGAUAGUAUUGUGAGAAUAAGCAUCGGCUAACUUCGUGCCAGCAGCCGCGGUAAGACAAAGGAUGCAAGCGUUAUCCGGAUUCAUUGGGUUUAAAGGGUGCGUAGGCGGACCUGUAAGUCAGUGGUGAAAUCUCUUUGCUUAACAAAGAAACUGCCAUUGAUACUGCAAGUCUAGAGUAUAGAUGACGUUGGCGGAAUAUGACAUGUAGUGGUGAAAUACUUAGAUAUGUCAUAGAACACCGAUUGCGAAGGCAGCUAACGAAACUAUAACUGACGCUGAGGCACGGAAGUGCGGGGAUCAAACAGGAUUAGAUACCCUGGUAGUCCGCACCGUAAACGAUGAUUACUCGUUGUUGGCAAUAUGACCGUCAGCGACCAAGCGAAAGCGAUAAGUAAUCCACCUGGGGAGUACGCCGGCAACGGUGAAACUCAAAGGAAUUGACGG
rnacentral:rRNA from 1 species